CCUACGGGGGGCAGCAGUGGGGAAUAUUGGACAAUGGGGGGAACCCUGAUCCAGCCAUGCCGCGUGUGUGAAGAAGGCCCUCGGGUUGUAAAGCACUUUCAGUGAGGAAGAACGCCUGGUGGUUAAUACCCAUCAGGAAAGACAUCACUCACAGAAGAAGCACCGGCUAACUCCGUGCCAGCAGCCGCGGUAAUACGGAGGGUGCGAGCGUUAAUCGGAAUUACUGGGCGUAAAGCGCGCGUAGGUGGCUUGAUAAGCCGGUUGUGAAAGCCCCGGGCUCAACCUGGGAACGGCAUCCGGAACUGUCAAGCUAGAGUGCAGGAGAGGAAGGUAGAAUUCCCGGUGUAGCGGUGAAAUGCGUAGAGAUCGGGAGGAAUACCAGUGGCGAAGGCGGCCUUCUGGACCGACACUGACACUGAGGUGCGAAAGCGUGGGUAGCAAACAGGAUUAGAUACCCGGGUAGUC
rnacentral:rRNA from 1 species